GACAGAUGCAAAGUUUCCUGACUACCAAGCAGGAACGGAGCGUGCCUCAACACAUGUGGUGACUGCUAUAGCUGGUGCUAAUAUUAUUUAUGAAUCAG
rnacentral:ncRNA from 1 species